UAACGAAUCUUGGGCAAUGGGCGCAAGCCUGACCCAGCGAUGCCGCGUGCAGGAGGAAGCCCCUCGGGGUGUAAACUGCUGUCAGGGGUUAGCAAGCGAAGGGAGUUAACAGCUCCCGGCGUUGAGCAGCCCCAGAGGAAGCCUCGACUAACUCUGUGCCAGCAGUCGCGGUAAGACAGAGGAGGCACGCGUUGUUCGGAAUCACUGGGCUUAAAGCGCGUGUAGGCGGCCGAGUAAGGGUGGUGUGAAAUCCCGGGGCUCAACCGCGGAACGUCA
rnacentral:rRNA from 1 species